CACACCGCCCAGUAAGCUCAAGUAAACAACAGAGACAUUAUGCAAUGAAACAUUAGAUUUCAGCAUUUAUUCAAAUUUUGUAAUAAGUACCAGGCAUUUUAAUUAAUAUUAUUAUUAUUUAAGCUUUUUAUGCAAACGGUUUAAUUUGAAAUCCUUGUUUUGUAGUAAUGAAACCGUGUUUGUGACCGUGCUGAGGCGUGUCAGAGCCCAGAGCAGGUUUGCUGAAGGAACGGCUUCUGUAACAGGACUUCACUGCCACACUGGCACUAUGCAGUAUGCAGGUAAAGAAGGAAUGGCGGUGAGAAAAAAAAUAGAAAAUAAGCAAGGAACUGCGCCAAAUAUGUGUACACCCAUGGUGAGGUACGAUUGCCAUCUACUGGUCUUAAAAGCCACCUGUAGUUGGAGAUGAGGCACCUGGCAUCAGACUGCUCCCUGCUGUCCUAUUGGCUGAUGGUGAGACUCCUGCCCAAUAGAAGUGGCCUCCCCCUGUCUCGCCCCCAGCUCUGGAGCCGUGCUGCGCAACAGGGGCAGCAGGAGCUGCUUUUUACCCCAGGAGGGGCUCACUCCUGCUGGUCCGCUGGCUCGCUCGGCUCCUGUCCUGCUGACCGGGUGAAAAGGAGCCACUCGCCAGGGACCUGCCCGCCUCAGAUUCCUGCACACAUUGAAUGCCUCUCACACCUGGAGAUGUGAAUUUGUACUCUGUCUGAACUCUAUUAUUUGUGCGAUAUGAGAAGCAGUUGCCAUUUUUGAUACAGAGACAAUCUGAGGUUUUCAUGAACACUGUUGUGUGAUGUUUAAUAAUGCAGGCAGCACUUCAGAUAACUUGAAUCAGGCUGUUGAGGCUUUGCUAUUACAUACGUCCUCUAUGAUGGGUGGCCGGGCUGACCACAGAGCACAGGUUUGGAGAUGGACACUAUGUAUUUUCUGCUCAGCGAACCAUCAAGGUGGAGGUGGCUAACACAUUUGAGCGCACACACACUCCAUGAAUAAGUGCUUCCAUGUGACGCCAGGCAUUAUCAAACAAGUAAUCAUUUCAGAGGGGUGGAAGGUGUGUGUGGGAAGAGAGUAACUGAGGGAGAGAAAUGUGUUAUAAUUACAACCAGUGAAGCAUAGUCUUCAUAUAAAAUGCAUUAGUUUGACUUGACACAUUAAUUAUCUGUUUUUGCAGAUGUUUUGCAGCAUUGUUGUGCAAACAAUUUUAGGGGGAGGAAUUAUGGGAAAGUGAGCUGAAAAUAAAAUAAGAGGGAGGUUUCUUGCAGAUUUACCUUCAUUCAUGCAGAGAGAGCGAAUCGAUGCAGCUGGAGAAAAUGGAGCCGAAGCGAAAGGAUCAUCCCAACAAGGUUAUCAUUACACCCUGCUCCUCGCCCUAACCCCUUCCAUUUUUCUACUCACAUGGAUUUCAAUGCACUCUGUUUUUUGGCGGUUUGUUGUAGUGGCGAGUAAGGGGGAGGGUUGCAAGGCUUCCCAUUCAAGCAUCACAAAGUACCAUAAUCAGGAAGAUAAAGAAAUUACACAUUAUAGAUUUCAAAAGGAGAUAAUGGACUAUUUGUUUGUUUUUAUGCUUAUUUGUGCAAAUCGUAGGUGCUCAGUGAAGCCUCGCAGUUGAAGGAUUGCUGCUUUUCUUUUAAAAGAUCUUAAUUGCAAUGCGGGCGGUCCGCGUUUUGUUUUUCCCAUGGCGAAGUGGAUGGCGGACACAGCUUUGUUUUAACACCGAUCUUAACAAAGGGAAACAGAUUGUGCCUUUUAGCCUUCUAGACGUCCUUGUGGAGGAUGGGAGCAUGCAUUUUGUGUGAAUGUGAAUGUUGUUGGAAAACAACAGCAUGAAAGAGGAUAGAAAAAAAAAACAUGUCAUCAAAUUCACCAUUAUAAGAAAGAGAACAGGUGCCUUUCUUACAUAAAUGCAGCUUUAAAAUGUAAUGAAUUGUUGUCAUUGUAUCAGAUAAA